rnacentral:rRNA from 1 species
CCCUAGUUUCGGGCGUAGAAGGCCUCUAWUCGGGGGCUGUUGCGGUGCAACACCAGCUGGCACAGGGGACGCCUAUCCUUCCGGGGAAGGCCAAUCCUGUGGCGAGCCCGGGUCACGCCGGGCCGUCGCAACGCGCGCAAAGCGGUGGGUCGCCUACCUGGCGGCUUAAGGUACGUGCUAAUCCCAUGGGUAACCAUGCCUCUCUGCGUAGGCCCGAAUGCCGAGGCUUAGAGGGCAGAAUGGCGGGAACGUCCCGUAUUCUGCGGUAUUGGAAUGCCAGACACAAUAAGGAUUGACAGAUUGAGAGCUCUUUCUUGAUUUUGUGGGUGGUGGUGCAUGGCCGUUCUUAGUUGGUGGAGUGAUUUGUCUGCUUAAUUGCGAUAACGAACGAGACCUUAACCUGCUAAAUAGCCAGGCCAGCUUUGGCUGGUCGCCGGCUUCUUAGAGGGACUAUCGGCUCAAGCCGAUGGAAGUUUGAGGCAAUAACAGGUUAACCUUUCACAGGCCUGUAACAGUGGAAUGUCCGCUAGUCCAACGUUUCAUCUCCGCGGGGAAGCCCCCAAUGUCGGGCGGAGAGGGGCUGAAAAGCUCUUAACGUGGGCAACACUACCUGGUACAGGGGACGCCGAGAUCCCAUCCUUUACCCAGGGUAAAAGGAUGUCGGCCAAUCCUGUGGCGAG